rnacentral:rRNA from 1 species
UGUGAACUUACCACUGUUGCCUCGGUGGCUGGUGCUGGAAACAGUGCUGCCACCGGUGGACUACUAAACUCUUGUUAAUUUUUGUCAAAUCUGAAUCAAACUAAUAAAUAAGUUAAAACUUUCAACAACGGAUCUCUUGGUUCUGGCAUCGAUGAAGAACGCAGCGAAAUGCGAUAAGUAAUGUGAAUUGCAGAAUUCAGUGAAUCAUCGAAUCUUUGAACGCACAUUGCGCCCAUUAGUAUUCUAGUGGGCAUGCCUGUUCGAGCGUCAUUUCAACCCUUAAGCCUAGCUUAGUGUUGGGAGACUGCCUAAUACGCAGCUCCUCAAAACCAGUGGCGGAGUCUGUUCGUGCUCUGAGCGUAGUAAUUUUUUAUCUCGCUUCUGCAAGCCGGCCAGACGACAGCCAUAAACCGCACCCUCUCGGGGGGCACUUUUUUAAUGGUUGACCUCGGAUCAGGUAGGAAUACCCGCUGAACUUAAGCAUAUCAAUAAGCGGAGGAAAAGAAACCAACAGGGAUUGCCCUAGUAACGGCGAGUGAAGCGGCAACAGCUCAAAUUUGAAAUCUGGCCUUCUGGUCCGA